rnacentral:tRNA from 1 species
UAUUUCUUGGUGUAAGGAUGCACGAAAAUUUUUGAUGUUUUAAGAGCAGUUUAAUUCUGUGGGAAAUAA